rnacentral:rRNA from 1 species
CCUACGGGUGGCAGCAGUGAGGAAUAUUGGUCAAUGGACGAGAGUCUGAACCAGCCAAGUAGCGUGAAGGAUGACUGCCCUAUGGGUUGUAACCUUCUUUUAUAAAGGAAUAAAACGAGGCACGUGUGCCUUUUUGCAUGUACUUUAUGAAUAAGGAUCGGCUAACUCCGUGCCAGCAGCCGCGGUAAUACGGUGGGUCCGAGCGUUAUCCGGAUUUAUUGGGUUUAAAGGGAGCGUAGAUGGGUUGUUAAGUCAGUUGUGAAAGUGUGCGGCUCAACCGUAAAAUUGCAAUUGAUACUGGCAGGCUGGAGUAUAGGUGAGGUAGGCGGAAUUCGUGGUGUAGCGGUGAAAUGCUUAGAUAUCACGAAGAACCCCGAUUGCGAAGGCAGCUUACUAAACUGUGACUGACAUUGAGGCUCGAAAGUGUGGGUAUCAAACAGGAUUAGAUACCCGAGUAGUC